rnacentral:lncRNA from 1 species
GAUUUGUAACUAUUGUACAUCUUUAUAAAUUUGUUAAUACUCUUAAGGUAGAAAUCUUAUAUAUUUCUAACAUCAACUAUCAAAAUAUUAUUCUUAUACCUAUAGAAGAAGUCAACAAUGAGGUUCAAAGUCUAUGCCAAAAAUUUAUACAAUUGAGAAAAAACAAGUAGAUCAAGUUUACAACUGAAUCUAGGAAGUCUUGCUAUUACAAGUAUGAGAGAUGUAAGGAUAAGCAUGCCAAAAAAAUUUGAUGGAACAAGAUCAAAGUUUUGUAUGUUUUUAUAGUAAGUGAAGUUCUAUCUAAGAUUGCAUCCUUUUUAAUACCUUGAUGGAUUUGCUUAAGUUGGAUUUAUAGGUGCACUUCUA